rnacentral:rRNA from 1 species
AGUGAAGCGGGAUGAAGCUCAAAUUUAAAAUCUGGCUGGUUUACUAGUCGAAUUGUAGUUUAUAGAAGCGUUUUCGGUGGCAGCCUGGGUAUAAAUCCUUUGGAAUAGGGUAUCAUAGAGGGUGAGAAUCCCGUCUUUGACUCAGUGCAUGCUACUAUGUGAUACGUUUUCAAAGAGUCGAGUUGUUUGGGAAUGCAGCUCAAAAUGGGUGGUAAAUUUCAUCUAAGGCUAAAUAUUGGCGAGAGACCGAUAGCGAACAAGUACCGUGAGGGAAAGAUGAAAAGAACUUUGAAAAGAGAGUUAAACAGUGCGUGAAAUUGUUGAAAGGGAAACGUUUGACACCAGUUAUGCGGGUGGAAAAUCAGUCUUUUGCAGUGGGGAGUUGUGGGCGUUCAGACCGCAAGGCUGGCGUUUGCUUCAUCUUUGCUGUAAGUGAUGCACUUUUUCAUUUGCAGGUCAACAUCAGUUUGCUUUGCUGGACAAAACCCCAAGGGAAGGUGGCAGCUUAGGCUGUGUUAUAGCCCUGGGGCGAUACAGUGGAGUGGACUGAGGUUUUCGCAGUGUGUGCUCUCGGGCAAGGCUGACUGGGUGCUAUGGGAUCGUUCGGUGUACAAUGCAUGCAUUUUGCGCCGUGUCUUUUUCAUACUCGCUCAACUCGGCUCUUCCACACUUAGGAUGUUGACUUAAUGGUUUUAAACGACC